AGAGUUUGAUCAUGGCUCAGAAUCAACGCUGGCGGCGCGCUUAACACAUGCAAGUCGCACGAGAAAGCGGGAGCAAUCUCGCAAGUAAAGUGGCGUACGGGUGAGUAACACGUGGAUGAUCUACCCUUUAGUGGGGAAUAACGCUGGGAAACCGGCGCUAAUACCGCAUAAGCUCGAGAGAGGAAAGCAGCAAUGCGCUGAAGGAGGAGUCCGCGGCCGAUUAGCUAGUUGGCAGGGUAAAAGCCUACCAAGGCAUAGAUCGGUAGCCGGCCUGAGAGGGCACACGGCCACACUGGCACUGAAACACGGGCCAGACUCCUACGGGAGGCAGCAGUGGGGAAUCUUGCACAAUGGGGGCAACCCUGAUGCAGCGACGCCGCGUGAGCGAUGAAGCCCUUCGGGGUGUAAAGCUCUUUCGUCAGGGACGAUAAUGACGGUACCUGGAGAAGCAGCUGCGGCUAACUACGUGCCAGCAGCCGCGGUAAUACGUAGGCAGCGAGCGUUGUUCGGAGUUACUGGGCGUAAAGGGUGUGUAGGCGGUUUUCUAAGUUUGGUGUGAAAUCUCCCGGCUCAACCGGGAGGGUGCGCCGAAAACUGGGAGACUAGAGUGCGGGAUGGGAGAGUAGAAUUCCUGGUGUAGCGGUGAAAUGCGUAGAUAUCAGGAGGAAUACCGGUGGUGUAGACGGCUCUCUGGACCGCCACUGACGCUGAGACACGAAAGCGUGGGUAGCAAACAGGAUUAGAUACCCUAGUAGUCC
rnacentral:rRNA from 1 species